CUGUUUGAACAACAAAUGUGUUGUACUUGUCCCACUUAGUUAUCUUAGGAGAAACGUUGCUGUGGAUAAAAGUGUCUGCUAAAUGUCUAACCGAGCAUCUGGCAGACUGACAGAUUUAAUAUGUGUGAUGUGAAUGUGUAUGUAAUCCCUUUCACACUCAGCAUCUAGAUUAUUAGGUACUGGUACCGGGUCUGACCCCCCUCUGUUUCCAGAACAGUCAGAAUUCUUUGGGGCAUGGAUUCUACAAGGUGUGGGAAACGUUCCACAGGGAUGUGGGUCCAUGCUGAUGUAAUGGCAUUGAGCAGGACACUCAAGUAAACUAAACUCCCGGUCCUGUUCCUGGAUUCAAUCGGAGACAAUACAUGACACGUGAAAAUCAUCCAUUCCUCUGCUGGAAGUAUCCGUGCGACAAAGGGUAGCCGCCAAGGAAUGCACCUCGUCAGCAACAAGGUUUAGAUACGUGGUGGCGUUCAUAUGUUGCUGAAAUAGUAUCGAGGGUCCUAACGUGGGCCAGGACGUGGGCCAGGUAGUGUGCCAGGACGUGUGCCAGGUCAUGGGCCAGGUAGUGUGUUGCUCUGGAUGUGUGUUAGGACGUGGGCCAGGUAGUGUGUUGCUCUGGAUGUGUGUUAGGACGUGGGCCAGGUAGUGUGUUGCUCUGGAUGUGUGUUAGGACGUGGGCCAGGUAGUGUGUUGCUCUGGAUGUGUGUUAGGACGUGGGCCAGGUAGUGUGUUGCUCUGGAUGUUUGUUAGGACGUGGGCCAGGUAGUGUGUUGCUCUGGAUGUGUGUUAGGACGUGGGCCAGGUAGUGUGUUGCUCUGGAUGUGUGUUAGGACGUGGGCCAGGUUGUGUGUUGCUCUGGAUGUGUGUUAGGACGUGGGCCAGGUAGUGUGUUGCUCUGGAUGUGUGUCAUUUUGUGGGCCAGGUAGUGUGUUGCUCUGGAUGUGUGUUAGGACGUGGGCCAGGUAGUGUGUUGCUCUGGAUGUGUGUUAGGACGUGGGCCAGGUAGUGUGUUGCUCUGGAUGUGUGUUAGGACGUGGGCCAGGUAGUGUGUUGCUCUGGAUGUGUGUUAGGACGUGGGCCAGGUAGUGUGUUGCUCUGGAUGUGUGUUAGGACGUGGGCCAGGUAGUGUGUUGCUCUGGAUGUGUGUUAGGACGUGGGCCAGGUAGUGUGUUGCUCUGGAUGUGUGUUAGGACGUGGGCCAGGUAGUGUGUUGCUCUGGAUGUGUGUCAUUUUGUGGGCCAGGUAGUGUGUUGCUCUGGAUGUGUGUUAGGACGUGGGCCAGGUAGUGUGUUGCUCUGGAUGUGUGUUAGGACGUGGGCCAGGUAGUGUGUUGCUCUGGAUGUGUGUUAGGACGUGGGCCAGGUAGUGUGUUGCUCUGGAUGUGUGUUAGGACGUGGGCCAGGUUGUGUGUUGCUCUGGAUGUGUGUUAGGACGUGGGCCAGGUAGUGUGUUGCUCUGGAUGUGUGUCAUUUUGUGGGCCAGGUAGUGUGUUGCUCUGGAUGUGUGUUAGGACGUGGGCCAGGUAGUGUGUUGCUCUGGAUGUGUGUUAGGACGUGGGCCAGGUAGUGUGUUGCUCUGGAUGUGUGUUAGGACGUGGGCCAGGUAGUGUGUUGCUCUGGAUGUGUGUUAGGACGUGGGCCAGGUAGUGUGUUGCUCUGGAUGUGUGUUAGGACGUGGGCCAGGUAGUGUGUUGCUCUG